rnacentral:tRNA from 1 species
GCGCUCGUAGCUCAGUGGAUAGAGCACAGGCCUCCGAAGCCUGGGGUCGUGGGUUCAAAUCCCGCCGAGCGCGCCA